rnacentral:rRNA from 1 species
GAUGAACGCUGGCGGCGUGCCUAAUACAUGCAAGUCGAGCGAACGGACGAGAAGCUUGCUUCUCUGAUGUUAGCGGCGGACGGGUGAGUAACACGUGGAUAACCUACCUAUAAGACUGGGAUAACUUCGGGAAACCGGAGCUAAUACCGGAUAAUAUUUUGAACCGCAUGGUUCAAAAGUGAAAGACGGUCUUGCUGUCACUUAUAGAUGGAUCCGCGCUGCAUUAGCUAGUUGGUAAGGUAACGGCUUACCAAGGCAACGAUGCAUAGCCGACCUGAGAGGGUGAAUGGCCACACUGGAACUGAGACACGGUCCAGACUCCUACGGGAGGCAGCAGUAGGGAAUCUUCCGCAAUGGGCGAAAGCCUGACGGAGCAACGCCGCGUGAGUGAUGAAGGUCUUCGGAUCGUAAAACUCUGUUAUUAGGGAAGAACAUAUGUGUAAGUAACUGUGCACAUCUUGACGGUACCUAAUCAGAAAGCCACGGCUAACUACGUG